rnacentral:lncRNA from 1 species
UUUAUCCUUUAAGAUUAUUGCUUAUUAAAUAUUGAAGUGUUUAAGAUGUUGAAAGAGUCUCUGAAAUUAUCUAAUUGGGUAGAAUCUUUUCAUGUAGAAUUUGUAGUCAUUUUGUAUUUUAGCUAUUUUAUGAAAUUACAUUAGUAAACUCAAAAUGUUUUUUUCUCUUUUUAUAUAGAACCUAUUGAUCUGAUUAUAGGAUACUUGGUUAAUUAAGAGAAAGCAGUUUAUUAUUCAUUUACUGUUUGGUUGGACUUGGUGCUAAAAUUGUAAGGUUGCAGCAUGGUCUAGACCUGUUUCCUGGAUGCCGCCAGUUGAAGCUCUGAGUCCUAUAGAAUUU